rnacentral:rRNA from 1 species
UACAGAGGGUGCGAGCGUUAAUCGGAAUUACUGGGCGUAAAGCGCGCGUAGGCGGCUUUUCAAGUCGAUUGUGAAAUCCCCGGGCUUAACCUGGGAACUGCAGUCGAGACUGUCUAGCUAGAGUAUGGGAGAGGGAAGUGGAAUUUCAGGUGUAGCGGUGAAAUGCGUAGAUAUCUGGAGGAACACCGGUGGCGAAGGCGGCAUCCUGGACCGGCAUUGACGCUGAGGCGCGAAAGCUAGGGGAGCAAACGGG